rnacentral:lncRNA from 1 species
CGGCCACAGAACAGCCAAAAAAAACCCGGCCUAGUUAGGGUUAACUAGAAUUGGAGCUAUAAGUUUUAUAGAAAUGGGUAUGUUCACAUUUCUAGGAUCAUGCAAUCACAUUCUGUAUUUUAACCUAGUUUAUUAGUAUCCAUCUUUGAAAUAAUCAAUAAAUUGUGUGAAAACAUAAUAUUUAGAAAGUUUGAAAUUUUAAUCUUUAUCUGAUCUCAAUCAUAUCAUGUCUGUUGAUCGAGAAGAAUCUAAAGGUCCUACCAUUUCACACUCAAUGCAGUAAGUAGCGUGUACAGGCUUAAAAUUAUGAUAGUUAAAGGAGAUCAAAAUUUGCAAAGUACUAAAAUUUACAAGAGCAAAAUAUUUACUCUUCGUUCUUAAUUAAUAGAAUUUUUGUUCUUGCUGACAAGUAAGGGACAAUUUCACUGAGCAUCUCAUAUGCAAAAACUUAUCUUUGUGAAUGGGUUAAGUGAUAGGCCCAUUUCAAGAACUGUAUGUAAUUGUUCACCAAUAAAUUUCCAUAUGAAUUCAAUACAUUGAUUAUUGUAUAUAUAGAAUGAAAGUGAUUCCAACUCGUGGAGACAAAGAAAGACUGGAGUCAGUUGGGUCAUUUUAUCAAGAGUGUAGAGAUUUGCACAUAGUCUUCAAAAUUAUUCUUGAUUGAGCCAUUUUUUACACACCUAUUCUUUUUCUUUUUUUUUCACGCAGAGAAACAUAAGACUGCCCUGUUUAAAUUCCCUCUUUAUUCUUUUCAUUUGAUGUUGAAAGAGUUUGAGAGACUGUCAGAGGACCCAACUAAGCAGAAGUUGGAAGCAGGACAUUUGAAUAUGCUGAUCCAUUACUAGAGAUAUGCAAGACUCCCAAGCAAGGUUUGGAGCUCAAACACCUGAUCUUGGCUGCAGCAGCAGAAAAUGAAGACACCAGGAAAAGUAUGUUAUGGAGAUGUUUGAUAAGGAGUGGGUUUGCAAUAAUUUUAUUCUUGGGAGGAAAACUUUGAAAAUGGUUAAAGAGUUACUUUACUUCCCCCCCCCCCCCCCCCGAGUUUUACCAGCCCCAAAUCCAUAUACCCCAUUUUAAUUUCAAGAGAGAGAAAGACAAUAAUUACAUGGCUCCAAAGUGUACUCUUCUAUUUAUACCUGAUGUGCAAUUCAAAUGGUUAAAGAAGGAUGACCCAGGCCAGUUGGUCAAAAUGUAUAUUGUAUACUGUAUAUUUUUAAUAUUUCUGAAUGGACAACCACAAAAAUACUGAUAUUCUGGAGUUCGAUUUACAUUGCUUGAGUUUAGUCUUCAUUUUUUUUUCUUUGCAGUUAUCAAAUCAUGUGGAGCACUUCUGUUGAUUCCUACUAUUUUUGGAGAGAAGGCAUUGCUUUGUCAGCAUAGCCAGGAUAAAAAACGGACCAAUCGCCAAAAUCAUCUACAAAAGUAAGCCCGACAGUGCAGGUCUGACUCUGAGCAGUGAUCAUGAAAAAUUCACGGAAAUUCUGCAAUCAUCCUAUAUUACAGCAGAGAAUGAAGUCAUUUAUGAGAAAACCACCUACCUCAUGUCAGCAGUCUCUCUGCUUAUGUCGGCCCAUUAUGUAUUCAACUGAUCAUACACCCCCAAGAUGGGUAACACCCUCACAUUCAUUCAGAAGAUUCUGAUGAACAUAGAUUCCACAUCUCAACCCUCAUCCAAGGUCGUAAGAAGCCUGUAUGACUUAAAUGCUGUCCGAAAUGCUGAUGCCAGUAGUUCUUCAGUUUAAUAGAAAUUAAUUACUUGGGUGAUGCUACUGCAACACAGCUGAUCACACUUUCUCUACGUGCAAUCACCUUAGGUGUUGUAUCUGUCUUUUAUGUGCAAAAUAGAUUGAAAUAGAUACGACAGGUUGACCGUGAAUUUAGACAUCAAGUAUGUGCAUUAUUUUGCUUUGCUUCAGUACAAAUUUCAGUGGCCCUUGAAUUGGAAAUCUUUUCAUAUCCCAAGAAUUACAUAUAAAUGCUUAAUGAAAUUUUUGUCACAGAUAAAAUAGGAUUUUGCACACACAAAAAAGAAAAGAUAUUUGGACCCAAAAUUUUUACAGAUCAGAUGGUCAACAAUUUUUUUUUUUUUGGGGGGGGAAUUGAAGACUAAGCUAUUAAUAUUCUACUUUUUGAUUUUUGUACACAUUUUGUUACUGUACAUGUAAAUAAGUUUAACACCACAAAUUUGAAGAAUUACAACAUUUUAAAGGUUCUCUAUGGAAUUUUAGUUAGUUUGUAAGUUUCAAGCAACUUAGUAUUUAAUUCCAAGAAUUAUACAAAGGCACUUUUCAAGAUUAUGGCUUCCAACAUCAGUACAUGAUGGAAACAAUUCUCAAUGUUUACAUUUAUUGAGAUGGUAAGCACAUGCAACUGAUUUGAAACUAAUUUUAUAAAUUUGACAAAGCACUGCCAUUAAUUUUAAGCCAAUCUGCACACUUCCAAGCAUGUCAAAGGUAUUGCUUAAUAGCCCAAUCACCACAAUUAUCAUUGCCUUUAAAAAAAAUUGCACAAAUAUAUUUAAAUAGAAAAGGUCAGUAUCUGCUUGAAGAUACAGCUGCUAUAGGAGGCAGAUUUUGCGGAAAAUACCAGGGCUUCACGGUGAGAGAAUGGGGGAUUCUGCGAAGUGCUUUAAGAAUUAAUUGAGAAUCCAAAUUGCACAUUUUGAAAUUGUCUUUUGUACUAUUAGUAGUAAAAUAUUUUUGUGGGUUUUCCUACAGCAAAAAUUGACAUUUGGGGAAUUCCUGUGUCAUGCAUGGGGAUUCUUAAAUUUAAAUUGUGUUUGUACGUAUGCUUAAGUUUGAAAAAUUGACGUUUUGUGACAGCUUUAUCUUUGUUUAGUCGGUUAAACCAUGUUGCCAAUCAGUUAUAAAAUCUAUCACUCUCUCUUGAUAGUUUUAUUUUUUAUUUGAUGAGAGGUAGCAGUGCACUUAUUUACAUGUUUGGUGACUGGAUUCUAUGCUUGAGAAUAGAUUUUAUUAUAGAAAGAAAUGCACAGCAACCAUAAUUAUUUUUCAAGUAAACUCUUAAACAUUUA